AGGUUUCAGCAACACAUGUACUAAAACAGGAACAAUACAGGGAAUGUUAUCAUGGCCCCCGCACAGGAUGACACUCAAAUUUGUAAAGCACUGAACAUUUCC
rfam:Erinaceus europaeus unplaced genomic scaffold scaffold00182, whole genome shotgun sequence